CAUUCAGGAAAUACCGCGUGAGGGAGGAGGCUCUUGGGUCGUAACCUCUUUUCUCAGGGAAGAACACAAUGACGGUACCUGAGGAAUAAGCAUCGGCUAACUCCGUGCCAGCAGCCGCGGUAAUACGGAGGAUGCAAGCGUUAUCCGGAAUGAUUGGGCGUAAAGCGUCCGCAGGUGGCAAUGUAAGUCUGCUGUUAAAGAGUCUAGCUCAACUAGAUAAGAGCAGUGGAAACUACAUAGCUAGAGUACGUUCGGGGCAGAGGGAAUUCCUGGUGUAGCGGUGAAAUGCGUAGAGAUCAGGAAGAACACCGGUGGCAAAGGCGCUCUGCUAGGCCGUAACUGACACUGAGGGACAAAAUUUAGCCGACGGAAUGGCCUCCAUUGCCCAAGAUUUUCCCAACUC
rnacentral:rRNA from 1 species